GGGUCAGUAGGUUGGUCGUGCCACCGGUACGUACUGGUCUCACUGAUUCCUCCUUCCUGAAGAACCGUAAUGCCAUUAAUUUGGUGUUGCGGGGAAACAGGUCUGUUACUUUGAAAAAAUUAGAGUGUUUAAAGCAAGCUAACGCUUGAAUACAUUAGCAUGGAAUAAUGAAAUAGGACGAUCAAUCCUAUUUUGUUGGUUUCUAGGAUUGACGUA
rnacentral:rRNA from 1 species